rnacentral:rRNA from 1 species
AGUGAACGCUGGCGGUAGGCCUAACACAUGCAAGUCGAACGGCAGCACAGUAAGAGCUUGCUCUUACGGGUGGCGAGUGGCGGACGGGCGAGGAAUACAUCGGAAUCUACUUUUUCGUGGGGGAUAACGUAGGGAAACUUACGCUAAUACCGCAUACGACCUACGGGUGAAAGCAGGGGAUCUUCGGACCUUGCGCGAUUGAAUGAGCCGAUGUCGGAUUAGCUAGUUGGCGGGGUAAAGGCCCACCAAGGCGACGAUCCGUAGCUGGUCUGAGAGGAUGAUCAGCCACACUGGAACUGAGACACGGUCCAGACUCCUACGGGAGGCAGCAGUGGGGAAUAUUGGACAAUGGGCGCAAGCCUGAUCCAGCCAUACCGCGUGGGUGAAGAAGGCCUUCGGGUUGUAAAGCCCUUUCGUUGGGAAAGAAAAGCAGCAGGUUAAUACCCCGCUGUUCUGACGGUACCCAAAGAAUAAGCACCGGCUAACUUCGUG